rnacentral:miRNA from 1 species
CCCUGUGCCCGUCCCACUUCUG